UCCUAAUAACUCUAUUACAAGACAAGCGUAGUAACUAUACUACACUAUCAACUAACAAACUCUAGUCAUUGAUCUAAGAUAACUUUACCCAGGACUCAACACCACCCACGAUUAUAACACUUACUUGACCAACUUACAAAUGACUCGAACAACUAACUUUAGCUAUUUUGACUUAAGCUAAGACUUGGACAAGCUACACAUCUACUAUCCUUCAAAAUCAGGAGUA
rnacentral:lncRNA from 1 species